CCUACGGGUGGCAGCAGUCGAGAAUCAUUCACAAUGGGGGAAACCCUGAUGGUGCGACGCCGCGUGGGGGAAUGAAGGUCUUCGGAUUGUAAACCCCUGUCAUGUGGGAGCAAAUUAAAAAGAUAGUACCACAAGAGGAAGAGACGGCUAACUCUGUGCCAGCAGUCGCGGUAAUACAGAGGUCUCAAGCGUUGUUCGGAAUCACUGGGCGUAAGGCGUGCGUAGGCUGUUUCGUAAGUCGUGUGUGAAAGGCGCGGGCUCAACCCGCGGACGGCACAUGAUACUGCGAGACUAGAGUAAUGGAGGGGGAACCGGAAUUCUCGGUGUAGCAGCGAAAUGCGUAGAUAUCGAGAGGAACACUCGUGGCGAAGGCGGGUUCCUGGACAUUAACUGACGCUGAGGCACGAAGGCCAGGGGAGCGAAAGGGAUUAGAUACCCGAGUAGUC
rnacentral:rRNA from 1 species